rnacentral:lncRNA from 1 species
AUGGUAAUUCUUGAGCCAGAUGUGAAUUUUUCCGCCAUUUGAGGUCACGUUCGGUUUAGUUUGGGAUAGCGGGACAUUUUCCGACUCUGCUGAUCACUAAGGUAUGCAAACCAUGCGUUGAUGCUUAGCAGCCGAAUAGGUUUCAGUGUGAAUGGGCCACCAAUAGAAACGCCGAAACUUUUGGCGCCAGAAUUAUUGGCGGGAAGAGAGCUGACUGGCCCAUACAGGUUAGGCUACAAGGACCACACGAACGAGGCUGUUUCACUUGACCGACAAAUACUUCCUGAACAAUCCUCACGUUCACGCUACUUCAAUGACAUAUGUUUCAAUUUGAUUUACAGUGAUGAUUUCUGAAGAAUGCAACGUGUGCAGUAAAUUUUUUUGAGAAGAAUAUUGUUUAAUAAGGAGCCAGAAUGCAUUAAAGAACAUAUUUCUGAAGAAUGCAACGUGUGCAGUAAAUUUUUUUGAGAAGAAUAUUGUUUAAUAAAAAGCCAGAAUGCAUCAAAGAGCAUAUUUCUGAAGAAUGCAACAUGUGCAGUAAUUUUUUUUCAGAAGAAUCUUGUUCAAUAAAAAGCCAGAAUGCAUCAAAGAACAUUGUCAGUACGCAGAUGUGCUUGAAAAUUGAAGAAAGAAUCUAUUAUGAACAGAGUUAAAAUUCGAAGAUGUGGAAAGAGUAUUCUACUGUGGUUCUCCAACUUAAUAUGUACGUUAACGACCGUAGCAACCGACUUGGGAAAUGUAGAAAAUGAUGAUAGGGUUCGAACGAACGCCCCUUCCCACAAUGUAGCAGCAACAGUUGGCUGUUCGACCACAUUGUGCGGCACACAUCUACAAAUACUGAUGUCGUAACGGUCCCUAAAUUCUCCAAAGACGGUUCAAAGAUACCAUACUUCCUGCAACCAUGUUUGAAAAAGGUCUUCCCAGUUGGAGGCAGUGAAAACUAUAUACUCCAUGGCCCAGAAGUUUUGGAAAAGCUUUGAAGUUAAAAAUUAAGUUUGGAAAAAAUUUUUCCAAAAUUUUUUGGAAAA